rnacentral:misc_RNA from 1 species
UUUCCGUAGGUGAACCUGCGGAAGGAUCAUUAUUGAAACUUCAUCCGGGGCGCCGCGGCCCUCAGCGCCGGUGGAAACGCCGUGCCGCGGGGGCCGCGCAUGCACUCGUCCAAACCAAACCCCUGUGAACCUUACUGGAUGGCCCGGGUUAGCGCCCGGUGCCGUUCCGCUUUAUUCAAACACUUAGCAAAGAAUGAACUGAAGGCGGUCUGACCGCUGGAUAACAAACUGAAACAACUUUCAACAACGGAACUCUUGGCUCUCGCAUCGAUGAAGAAC